GAACUCCACAAGACACAACAACUGAUCUAUUCAACACAGUUCAAUCUACAAACCAGGAACAUUCCCUUUAUUCAACAUGCUGGACCUGGAUUACUGGAUGGUUUAUCUCCAUCUACUGGUUGUUCUCACAGGUGUCAACUGUGAAGAUCUGAGUCCAGUCAAGAAUGAAGAGUCCAGUUUAGAAGGAAACUCUGUUACUCUCACAUAUAAAUACUCUAAAAUGGUGUCAGGUGAUUAUUUCUUCUGGUAUCGACAAUAUCCAGGAAAACCACCAGAGCUCCUCAUCUCACACUCAUCCUCAGGAUCAAAAGGAAUUGAAAAUGUUUCUGGACUGAAGAUUAAUGUGGAGAAAAACCUCAUCUCUAUGAGCAUCUCCUCUGCUGCAGUGUCAGACUCUGCUGUUUACUACUGUGCUGUGAAGCCCACAGUGACAAGAAACAGCAAAACUCUGAACAAAAACCUCUGGAGCAAAGACAACACAGUACUACACAACAUC